rnacentral:lncRNA from 1 species
GGUCAAGUUCACCCUGAAGCAGAAGGUUGGCCUGGGCGAGUGCUGGAAGAUCGUGGGUGAGUGCAGGCUGGUGCGGAGGCCAGCAAGGCCCACGGGCGUUGCGGAUUUCGCAGGAACGACCCGAAUGCAACGUCAUCAGCGCCGCCAAUGCCGUAGUUGCAUGUUCUGCACUGACUGGGGGCAAGGAUCCUGGUGUCUACCAGACGGGUGUUGCACUCGCUCCUGUACUCCUCUCAGACACCAGCUUCUAGCGUUUGUUUGCUUGGUUGUUCGGUUGCGUCUGUCUCACACAUUGCGUUGGUGGCGCUCUGUAUCCUCGUGGACACCACAGGUAUGUGCCCCGAGCUGGGCCGCAUGAAGCCCGAGGUGGCGCCCUACAUGCAGUGGACCAACGGGUAGGUGCUGAAUGCGGGCCCGGGGGGUGGUGCAGGGCAAGGUCUCACAGGGAAGGAGUGCCUCUUGUUCAACAUGGAGUGGCAUGGAGUUGCAUGGCCAAGCCAGUGCAUGGGGAGUUGCGAGUGCGGCCUGGGGAGGGUGAACGUUCGGG